CAAGGAAUCUUCCGCAAUGGGCGAAAGCCUGACGGAGCAACGCCGCGUGCGGGAUGACGCCCUUCGGGGUGUAAACCGCUUUUCAGGGGGAAGAAGAUCUGACGGUACCCCUGGAAUAAGGACCGGCUAACUACGUGCCAGCAGCCGCGGUAAUACGUAGGGUCCGAGCGUUGUCCGGAGUUACUGGGCGUAAAGCGCACGCAGGCGGCGGUGUUGGCCCGGCGUGAAAGCCCCCGGCUCAACCGGGGAGGGUCGUCGGGUACCGCACCGCUUGAGGGCGGUAGGGGCUGGUGGAAUGCCUGGUGUAGUGGUGAAAUGCGUAGAGAUCAGGCGGAACACCCGUGGCGAAGGCGGCCAGCUGGGCCGUCCCUGACGCUGAUGUGCGAAGGCGUGGGGAGCGAACGG
rnacentral:rRNA from 1 species